UUGAACGCUGGCGGCAUGCCUUACACAUGCAAGUCGAACGGCAGCACGGGAGCUUGCUCCUGGUGGCGAGUGGCGAACGGGUGAGUAAUACAUCGGAACGUACCCUGAAGUGGGGGAUAACGUAGCGAAAGUUACGCUAAUACCGCAUAUUCUGUGAGCAGGAAAGAGGGGGAUCGCAAGACCUCUUGCUUUAGGAGCGGCCGAUGUCGGAUUAGCUAGUUGGUGAGGUAAAGGCUCACCAAGGCGACGAUCCGUAGCGGGUCUGAGAGGAUGAUCCGCCACACUGGGACUGAGACACGGCCCAGACUCCUACGGGAGGCAGCAGUGGGGAAUUUGGACAAUGGGCGCAAGCCUGAUCCAGCCAUGCCGCGUGAGUGAAGAAGGCCUUCGGGUUGUAAAGCUCUUUCGGUGGGGAAGAAAUUGCACAGGAUAAUACCUUGUGUAGAUGACGGUACCCGCAUAAGAAGCACCGGCUAACUACGUG
rnacentral:rRNA from 1 species